UUGGGGGCUGGGGCUUCAGCCUAAGCAUCUGGGGGGAACAGGCAUUCGGUCCAAACAAGUGGGCUCAGUACUGCACUGUUCCUCACCCAGGCCCAGCCUAGGGGCCCUGCUAUUCUUUUGCUCCAGGCCCCAGGUUCUCAAAACCGCAGAUUCCACAGGCUGAAAGCCCUCCUGAGGCAUCUUGAGUGGGCCUCUUCUGGCACCUGAAACAGCCUUAGGAAAAGCAGCAUCCUUCUUGCUUCCCUAGCUAGAAGAUAAAUUCGCCCUCCCACUGACAGCCCCAUUUUCUGAGGGCCGAGUGCUCUGGGUCCCUGCAGGAUGGUGGGAUUACCGAGAGCAAAGAGAGCCAGCCUCACCUUGGGGAACACGCAGACCCAGAGCACCCACUGUCCACAGACAGGCAGAGGGUCCCAGCUAGACUGCCCCAGCCGCAGGGCUCCUGGCAGUAGAAUGCUGCUAGCAGGGCCAGUCAGGCUUCCCAGAGCUUAACCUGAGGUUUAGCAUCAAAAUGCCUGCACUUACAAAUGUAAAUAACGCUCCAAAUACCUUAGACCAACAUCAGUGCUGGGUUUGGCUUGCAAAUAAUUCAUGUUUGGUCUAAAUGGGUUUAUUCUGCCUCGUUUGAGUGAUUAGUUGCCUUAGAAAGCAUCAAGGAAUAGAGGCUCUACUAAGCCAGCAAGAAGGGGAUAAUGCAGGAAUUGAAAUGCAGAGAGGACUUCUCAGGGCCAGGCUGUUAGCAAUUGCUAUUAGAUUAAGGGAUCAUUUGGCGGAAUUUAAAAUGGAAGUAGGCACAACUCAGGAGAAAGAAUGAGAGAGAAUAUUUCUCCCGCAUCUCGCUGGAGGGUGGAGGAGACAGGCUGGUGCUCUCCAGUGUCUGGGCUGCAGCACAGAGUUCUGCUUUUCAGAGGGGAGGGCUGACCAAGGAGUGUCUGCUGUCCAAUGCUUCUCAAAUGCCACCAAGUCCCCUUGCCGCCCACACUGGCUCCCACAGCUUAGUUCUAUUACGCAGUGGAAAUGCAGGCCCAUGCUGAGGAGGUAAACCAAAAGCAAAGUGUUAGGAAGAAGAGGUCACCAACUGCGGGCAGCUGGGGACAGGGUAGUGCUGCCAGCCCCACGGGCACCAUUUGCAUGGCCACUGCUGACAACACUGCACAUGGGACAGUCCCUUGGAGGCUUCUGACCACAGGCCAGAGAGCGACUAAUAAGUGGAGAGUGGGGACUGCCUACACCCAGGCCAAAAUACCCCUUGCUAGAGUCCGGCUUCCAGACCACCAACUUCACUGCAGAACUUGAUUCUCCUAUCAAGCAGGGUCUCUUGGCCCAGCCAACAAGAACAAUGAUGAAGACAUAUUGACUGCUGCCUGCACAAACCCCUGGGCUAAGGGCAUUACAUGAUCCGUCCUAUUGAAUCCUUACAACAGUCUGGAAGCUGGGGCUGGCAUUAUCCCAUUCUCCAGAUGAGAAAUCCUAAGUGGAGGGAGAGUACGACCUGCCCAGAGUCGCACCCUGAAGACCUGCAGGUGGAGGAUGUAGAGAAAGGAGGAAUUGCGAUUCCCUGAUCUGGGGGUUGGACUGUGGGUGGAAGGUAGUGCCUUUCCCCUGAGGCUGGUGAGUGCCAGUGUCUGUUGGACAAGUCAGUGAACAUGUCCUAGAGACAACUGGAUGUAAGUCUGCAGCCCAGUGGAGAGGUUAAGGCAGAAUUAGAAAUGUUGGUGAAGGUGUCAGUGGUGUUGAUGGUGUGCGGGAUAGCCGUGAUGGAUCCACAGCUGCUCUCUAUUCCCAAAUGAUGCUUUUCUAUUCCAGCCAGGGCCAGGUGUGCAGGAAAGGGAGGUAGGGAAGUUUCCCUUCAAGCCCCUUCCCAGGGCCCUGCCCCUCUGUUCCAAUGUGUCUGGGAUUGUCAGGCAGUAGGCCGUGCCUAAGACUAUGUGACAAGGACUGGAUGCUUACUGAGGUCAUAUCCUGUGAGCCUCUCCUCCCAUGAAUAAAUGCUUCACCCCAAGAACUCCCGCCUGCCUCUGCAGAACCCUCCUCUCUUGUUCCAGAGCUGCUCCCCCUUCCCUUCCUCCUUCUCCUUUGCCUGUGUCAAGCACGUCCGUGUGAAGAGACCACCAACAGGAUUUGU
rnacentral:lncRNA from 1 species